rnacentral:rRNA from 1 species
CUCCUUUGACGUUAGCGGCGGACGGGUGAGUAACACGUGGGUAACCUACCUAUAAGACUGGGAUAACUUCGGGAAACCGGAGCUAAUACCGGAUAAUAUUUCGAACCGCAUGGUUCGAUAGUGAAAGAUGGUUUUGCUAUCACUUAUAGAUGGACCCGCGCCGUAUUAGCUAGUUGGUAAGGUAACGGCUUACCAAGGCGACGAUACGUAGCCGACCUGAGAGGGUGAUCGGCCACACUGGAACUGAGACACGGUCCAGACUCCUACGGGAGGCAGCAGAA